GAUGAACGCUGGCGGCGUGCCUAAUACAUGCAAGUCGAGCGAAUGGAUUGAGAGCUUGCUCUUAUGAAGUUAGCGGCGGACGGGUGAGUAACACGUGGGUAACCUGCCCAUAAGACUGGGAUAACUCCGGGAAACCGGGGCUAAUACCGGAUAACAUUUUGAACCGCAUGGUUCGAAAUUGAAAGGCGGCUUCGGCUGUCACUUAUGGAUGGACCCGCGUCGCAUUAGCUAGUUGGGGAGGUAACGGCUCACCAAGGCAACGAUGCGUAGCCGACCUGGGAGGGUGAUCGGCCACACUGGGACUGAGACACGGCCCAGACUCGUACGGGAGGCAGCAGUAGGGAAUCUUCCGCAAGUGACGAAAGUCUGACGGAGCAACGCCGCGUGAGUGAUGAAGGCUUUCGGGUCGUAAAACUCUGUUGUUAGGGAAGAACAAGUGCUAGUUGAAUAAGCUGGCACCUUGACGGUACCUAACCAGAAAGCCACGGCUAACUACGUGCCAGCAGCCGCCGUAA
rnacentral:rRNA from 1 species